rnacentral:rRNA from 1 species
CCUACGGGUGGCAGCAGUGAGGACUAUUGGUCAAUGGUCGGGAGACUGAACCAGCCAAGCCGCGUGAGGGAGGAAGGUACAGAGUAUCGUAAACCUCUUUUGUCAGGGAACAAAGGCGGGGACGUGUCCCCGGUUGAGUGUACCUGAAGAAAAAGCAUCGGCUAACUCCGUGCCAGCAGCCGCGGUAAUACGAGGGAUGCGAACGUUAUCCGGAUUUAUUGGGUUUAAAGGGUGCGCAGGCGGUCUGUUAGGUCAGCGGUAAAAGCCCGGGGCUCAACCCCGGCCCGCAGUUGAAACUGGCAGUCUCGAGUUGGAGAGAAGUAUGCGGAAUGCGCGGUGUAGCGGUGAAAUGCAUAGAUAUCGCGCAGAACUCCGAUUGCGAAGGCAGCAUGCCGGCUCCACACUGACGCUGAGGCACGAAAGCGUGGGGAUCGAACAGGAUUAGAUACCCCAGUAGUC